rnacentral:rRNA from 1 species
CUCCGUUGGUGAACCAGCGGAGGGAUCAUUACUGAGUUUACGCUCUAUAACCCUUUGUGAACAUACCUAUAACUGUUGCUUCGGCGGGCAGGGUCUCCGUGACCCUCCCGGCCUCCCGCCCCCGGGCGGGUCGGCGCCCGCCGGAGGAUAACCAAACUCUGAUUUAACGACGUUUCUUCUGAGUGGUACAAGCAAAUAAUCAAAACUUUUAACAACGGAUCUCUUGGUUCUGGCAUCGAUGAAGAACGCAGCGAAAUGCGAUAAGUAAUGUGAAUUGCAGAAUUCAGUGAAUCAUCGAAUCUUUGAACGCACAUUGCGCCCGCCAGCAUUCUGGCGGGCAUGCCUGUUCGAGCGUCAUUUCAACCCUCAAGCUCUGCUUGGUGUUGGGGCCCUACAGCUGAUGUAGGCCCUCAAAGGUAGUGGCGGACCCUCCCGGAGCCUCCUUUGCGUAGUAACUUUACGUCUCGCACUGGGAUCCGGAGGGACUCUUGCCGUAAAACCCCCCAAUUUUCCAAAGGUUGACCUCGGAUCAGGUAGGAAUACCCGCUGAACUUAAGCAUAUCAAUAAGCGGAGGAGGUC